rnacentral:snRNA from 1 species
CUACUUUUUCAUAUAACACAUU